rnacentral:misc_RNA from 1 species
UCCGGUUUGACACCGGCAGUCCCACUAGAGUCCUCGGCAUGACCCGUUAGCAACUAGUGGCAAGGGUUUCGCUCGUUAAGGGACUUAACCCGACACUUCACAGCACGAGCUGACGACAGCCAUGCAGCACCUGUGCACGUUCCACCCAGAGGGUGUGGCUCCCCUUUCAGGGAGUUAAUCCGUGCAUGUCAAGCCCAGGAUAAGGUUCUUCGCGUUGCUUCGAAUUAAGCCACAUGCUCCACCGCUUGUGUGAGCCCCCGUCAAUUCCUUUGAGUUUUAGUCUUGCGACCGUACUCCCCAGGCGGGGUACUUAGCGCGUUAGCUCCGGCUCGGCAGGGGUCAAUACCCACCUAACCUAGUACCCAUCGUUUACAGCGUGGACUAC